rnacentral:lncRNA from 10 species
AGACAUUAUACUUGUAUUAGCCGUCUCCCAAAGAAGAAAUAUUUAUUAAACACUUGUACAUCAUGCUUCAUAAACGAACAUCUAGUGAGAUCUCAAAGAUGGGGUCUCACUCUGUCGCCCAGGCUGGAGUACAGUGGCGCGAUCUCAGCUCACUGCAACCUCCGCCUCCCAUGUUCAAGCCUCAGCCUGCCUCAGCCUCCUGAGUAGCUGGGACUACAGGACUUCAGAUUUGGACUGGACCCACACCACUGGUUCUCAUGGGCCUCCAGCUUGCAGAGAGCAGAUCAUGAGACUCCUCAGUUUCCAUAAUUGCAUGGGCCAAACCCUCAUGAUAAAUCUUUUUCUAUAUAUCUAUAUGUCAUCUAUUGAUUCUGUAGAUGAGUUUUGUUUUUCUUGAACUUUGUAUACAUGGAAUAAUAUAGUUUAUAUUGUCAUUUGUUUGUGAAAUUUAUCCAUGUCUUUCACAUACAAAUAGUUUCUUCAUUAUGACUGCAUAUUAUUGCAUGAAUAUUAAAUAAAUUAUUUAUCCAUUCUCUGUUAGUGGACAUUUGGAUUGUUUCUAGUUUGGGGCCAUUAUGAAUAAAGUUGCUAUGGACAUUCUUGUGUAUAUCUUUAGGUGGACCUGUGUACUAAUUUCUCUUUAGGUGGACCUAUGUACUAAUUUCUCUUUAGGUGGACCUAUGUACUAAUUUCUCUUCCGUAUAUUUUCAGGUCUGAAAUUGCUAUAUCAUAAACUGUUGUAUGUUUUAGCCACAGCAUUUUGAAACAGAGUUUUAAGUAACAGCAUUAACUUCCAAGUCCAGUCAACCCUAGCCUGACUAAAUCUGUGGAUUUAUUAGAGUCAAUAAGCCAAUAAAUAUUGGUUUAACACCUGCUAUGUGUCAGGAAUUGUGAUUGUUAAUUUUAUGUGUCAACUUGACUGGGCUAAGGAAUGCCCAAAUAGCUGGUAAAACAUUAUUUCCAGGUUUGUGAGGGUAUUUCUGGAAGACAUUAUCAUUUGAAUUGGUAAAAAGAGUAAAGAAGAUCACUUUCACUAAUGCAGG